rnacentral:misc_RNA from 1 species
AUGAAGAACGUAGCGAAAUGCGAUAAGUAAUGUGAAUUGCAGAAUUCAGUGAAUCAUCGAAUCUUUGAACGCACAUUGCGCCCGCCAGUAUUCUGGCGGGCAUGCCUGUUCGAGCGUCAUUUCAACCCUCAAGCCCAGCUUGGUGUUGGGGAUCGGCACAGGCGCCCUCGGGCGCCCGCCGUCCCCUAAAUCUAGUGGCGGUCCCGCUGCAGCCUCCUCUGCGUAGUAGUUUUCUCCUCGCAAGGGCAGCUCGGUGGCGACCUCGCCGUAAAACCCCCAACUUCUGAAAGGUUGACCUCGAAUCAGGUAGGAAUACCCGCUGAACUUAAGCAUAUCAAUAAGCGGAGGA